UUUUUUUUUUUUGAGUGCACUCUAAUCUAAUACCAGUUGCUUCUCUGCCUGCUAUAGAAGCAACGUCAGCAUUACUUACUGAGCAUGCGUAUGCAACAGCCCUUUUCUAUGUACCAGAGAACAGAACCACAGACACAAAUGAGCUACCACCAUUACCUUGAGAGUUCAUCAUGUACCCUCAGAGACUCAUGUGUAGGCAAUUAAUGCUAAUACCAACAAGAAUGAAAUAUGUACCUUAAAAGAUAAUAUAAACAAAGGAAAGAAUUACUAACCCCAACUGUAGAGAUUUUGGGAAAGGGUCCCAGUGUCUUAUACAAGAUGGCAUUUAAAUUUUGACUGAGAAAUAGGAUUUUUUUAUUGGUAAAGAAAUGGGAAAAGCAUACCCAGGUAAGAAACAGCACAUUAAAGACAGCAGAAAGGCAGUAGCUACACUUGGUCUUUUCUAUGGAGAAUUUCUGCAGUGCUGGUGCUCCUGUAAGUCUCUGGUUAGAAUGGAAAUACCUUUCCCUUCUUUUGAUAGCACAAAGAAUAGGAGUUAUUCCACAGAAUGACUUGGAACCUUAGUCAUGGUGUUUUUUCAGCUUUAUUACUCACCUACCUGUGAUAAAGGCCUCCCCCAGCAAAGUGUCUUGAAUCACUAAAAGUUUGUCUCUCCUUUCUAGGGCUCAUAGUUAACACAGGGGUCAGAGACCAAGCAAGUUCAAGAGUAGCACCCCAAACCAUUGUUUCUUCAGAAAUUAUCAAGCCCAUCCCACCAGAUUUAUGACAAACCUACGGUGUUCUUCCCCCUUCAGAGACCUCUUUGUCUCUCUCUGCUGUCUGCCUUCUGUCAAGAGAUUUCCGGUGUUUAGACAUCUUAAUACAUGUCAGAACUCCAAAUGUAGAAAGGAUUCAAGUUUCCUUGUAAGGGUAUCCUAGACCCUGAGCAAAUAGAAACCAUUUACAGAGCCAUCUGGAGCUGGCUCAUACUAGCUUGCAAGAGCCAAUUGUUAAAUUUUCAGGAAUUUUGCAAACUGGUUGAUACCAUACUGGUAGCUUGAAAUUGGCCAUGGUUGGAGUAUUUAUGUCACAGAGACUGGUAAAGGCUACAAAGUAGGACUCUUAUUUUCAGGGAGCUUAUUGUUAGAUUCUUGCCAGCACUGCACCAAGUAUUUAGCUCUAAAGAGCCCUCAAACUUUUCACACCAGUUAGCCAAAAGCACCUAAGUGAUUUUCAGAGGAUUACCAUCUUACUCCAAGUGCAUGGAAUGUUGGUGUCUCGAAGAGUGUUGAGAGAUAUAUAUCAACAAUGGUGCUGAUCAAACACCCACUGUCAAGAGUUCAAUGUGCUGUAGGAAAAGAAGUGCUGGAGUUUAGUUUCUAAGUGUGCUGCCUCUAAUCUUUACUAACUGGGAUUUGAAGAAAGUUAUUUAAGUCUCUGCGUUGUUUUUUUUUUUCCUCACCUGCAAAGUGGGGACCAUAAUACUUAUGUAACAGAGUUACAGUAAAGAUUAAAUAAAAUAAUAUUUGAAGGUACUUAGAGCAAUGUACAGAACAGAGUAAGUACCCAAUAGAUGAUGACAAUGAGGAUAGACAACUAGGUUCAAAUGCUGGCACUGCUACUUUUCAGUUUGUACCAUCUUGUUAAACUUAUUUCACUUCUCUGAGCCUCGAUAUUUUUCUUAUAAAGAAUUGGGAACGGGGUGCACCGUCUUCCGCCGCAUGUGGAUUCAGCGCGAUGCCCAAAUCCAAGCGUGACAAGAAAGUCUCCUUAACCAAAACUGCCAAGAAAGGCUUGGAGUUGAAACAAAACCUGAUAGAAGAGCUUCGGAAAUGUGUGGACACCUACAAGUACCUUUUCAUCUUCUCUGUGGCCAACAUGAGGAACAGCAAGCUGAAGGACAUCCGGAACGCCUGGAAGCACAGCCGGAUGUUCUUUGGCAAAAACAAGGUGAUGAUGGUGGCCUUGGGUUGGAGCCCAUCUGAUGAGUACAAAGACAACCUGCACCAGGUCAGCAAAAGGUUGAGGGGUGAAGUGGGUCUCCUGUUCACCAACCGCACAAAGGAGGAAGUGAAUGAGUGGUUCACAAAAUACACAGAAAUGGACUACGCCCGCGCUGGUAACAAAGCAGCAUUCACUGUGAGCCUGGACCCGGGGCCCCUGGAGCAGUUUCCCCACUCCAUGGAGCCACAGCUCAGGCAGCUGGGCCUGCCCACCACCCUCAAGAGAGGUGUGGUGACUCUGCUAUCCGACUUUGAGGUGUGCAAGGAGGGCGAUGUGCUGACCCCAGAGUAGGCUCGCGUCCUGAAGCGUUUUGGGGAUGAGAUGGCUGAAUUCAAGGUGACCAUCAAAUACAUGUGGGAUUCACAGUCGGGAAGGUUCCAGCAGAUGGGAGACGACUUGCCGGAGAGCGCAUUCCGAGGUCCGCAGAAAGAGUCAGACUCAGAAGAGCGAUGA